CCUCGUGCUUUCAACGAAAAUUUUCGUCCUAAAAACUUUUAUUAUUUUUGUAGAAUCUUAUCCCAAUAUAACCUCUAAUCUUUGCCAAAUGGACAACAGUGUAUUCGUAACUCCUUAAAGAAAGCUGUGGGUUGCAUUUGUGGUCGAGAUUCGAUGUUUUUCAAGCUUGACUUGGCUCAAACUUUAUGUUGUAUUUCACACUCCAUCUUGGUAUAAAUGUUGCAUCAGCUGUAUCAAUUUGGUUAGAAUUUGCUUGGAAUACCUCUGGUUUGUCUUGUUCAAGGUAUUUGGGAUUAUUUUUGUGUUGAUAUAUUGUGAUGUAUGAAAUAUAUGUAAAGUUAUAUUGCUUUUUAAUACAGGGUUUUAUAAUAUAGAAAUUUUGAAUUGAAGAUUCCUUUCUUACGUUUUCGUAGCGCUUUGCAUUGUGGUUAUAGUGGUAUCACUGACAUUCAAGAUGGCUUUAAUAUUUUUUGUCCUAACCUGUGCAAGAACUUUUAAAAAACUAGGGUCAGGUGGUGGGUGUUAGUCAUUUUUAUUCGAGGCUGGUAUCUUUAGCAGUGAUUAGAGGUGUGCAUCGGAUCAGAUUGGACGUUUAUAAUCUGACGAUUGUCUAAUGUUUAAAAUCCGAUCUGAAAUUGUCUAAUCCGAAUCGGAUCCGAAUUUUGAUAAAGAAUUCCGAUCCGAAGAAUUCUUUAAUAAAAUAAAUUUCUCAUUCAAGUUGAAAUAUUUAAUUAACCAAAUAAAUAUAAAAGCAAGAAAUAGAUGUCAAGAAGCUGACGAAGUGACGUCCAAUUGAAGUAUCGAGCAAAUAAUGCAGCGAAAAUCAUGAUGAUGCUUUUAUAAAUGCAUAGAUUAAUUUUAUUUCAAAUAUCGAAGUUUGAUCUGACCACGAAACAACUUCAUCAAUCCGAUCUGAAAUUGAAUAUUUUAGUUCCAAAAUCCGAAUGAAUCUGUUUCGGAUUGGAAUGGCACACCUCUUCAACUUUCGAAAUUCAACUAUUUUUGCCUCUGCAAAUAAUUGCCGAAACCUUUCAAUAAUUUUAGAGUUUGCCUCAGCAAUUUUUUUUGCUGAGGCACGCAAAGAAAUCACCUUAAAUAACUUUGGCAAUUACUUCGGCACCUUUUGGCAUUCACAUCUGCAGUUGUAAUUUCAGUAAAGUACAUACAGAAAUUACGAGCGUAGAUUCUGAGACUUCUGAUGUUUGACAAUUUGUUGUUAUUUUACAAAUUCCUGAUUCAAAAUGUUUUUAAAAAGUUAGUGGUAAUUUACAACCAAUUGUAUAAAAAAAUGAACUUGAGUCUUGACAGUAAAAUCACACGACAGUCUAAGAGAUAAAACAAAGUUUCUCGACGUAUUGUCUUUAAACCAUCAAGAUUGUUCUUUAUUUCAACUGAAGCCAAUGCUCAACAAGCCUGUUGUUGGGAAACAAAUCGAAAAUGUGAGUAAAGACUGUGGUAAACAGAAAAAUCCCACGAAAUGGACACGUCCGGCCUCACUUUCUCAUUCAAGGCAAUAUUAAAUCACAUGCAGAGGAGCCGCUGUUUUUAACUUUUUAUAUUUUUAAAAAAUAAUUCCGAUUUCCAAAUUCCAAUUUGCUGACGUGUGCUAUCGUUAUAUUUCUUUAAUCUGAUUGGAUAAAGGCGUGUGCACACGUCAUCAUUCCUCGUUGCAAUUGGACGAAAUAUUACAAACAUAUCAAUCACGUAAUCAUGUUUAGUUGUUUUUGAAUUUUGAAUUCUGAAUUUUGGCUCAAACAAAAUCAAACAAGUUCAAAGCUGUUUUGAUUUUUGAAGAAACUGUGGCAAUGAGAAUACAAGAUCUAGAGCUUAAGAAAUGAAAAAUACAUGAGCAACCGAGUGUUCACUGCAACGUUCUUCAUUGUUCAAAUGAAUAUGAAAUUCGUGAUAUACAAUGAUUUCUUUCCAAUUUCAAGUGAAAUCAGCGAGCGAGGAAGACGCCUUAUUGAAGCUUUGUGUUAUUGUAUGUACUAUUUUGAAGAAAAAUAUGCAAGUAGGUUGUCAUAUUUCGGUCGUACUUAAAGACCAAUUAAUUUUGAAAAUUGUUUACGAUAAGAACCUUUCUUGAAUUUGUCGUAUUUUUUUCAGCUGUUUUGCUAAAAAAUUAUCUCACAAGUUUGUUUAUAAGUGUUCAUAUGAAAGUCUGGCUAUUUCACGAAACACUACAACCGAAAUAUGGCAACCUGUUUGGCCGUUUUUUGUUCAAAAUAGUGAAUACACAAGCUUGAUAAGGCGCUUUCCUCGGUUUGCAACAGGUCUGUCGCAAGUUGUUGAAAACAGCAUUGCUGCAGCUCUGUGUCAACAACUUGCAACAGGCCUGUUGAAAACAGCAUUGCUGCAGCUCUGUCACAAAGCUUCUAACAGACCUGUUGACAGGCCGUUGCGGACCUGUCAGAACAGACAGGUACAAGGCGAGCGAACGCAUCCAGAUAUCGGCUUGUUGACAACAGGAUUUAACAGACCUGUUGCAGAUCUGUUCCGACUUGCGCGUUUCUGGCUGUGUAUAUAACAAUAAGUUUUAAUUCUUAGUAUAUAGUUCUGUGUUUUUGAUUUUAUGUGAAAAAUGCAAAAAUUGUUGCAGAUAGUCAAGGAAAUUUUCUUUUUUUUGAAACAAUGAUUAUGUUAUGAAAAGUUAAUUUAAAAACUUAUUAGUUGGUAGACUUGUCUGAUAUAUCUUGAUUUGCACUCCUUUUUAAAUAGGUUAAGCAAAAUUAUGUGCGACCUUGUACCGACAAGUGACUUUUCUCCCCAAAUGGUAAGGACCCUGGGUAAAGGGUCCUUCCCUGGGGGAGGGUCUUUCUCCUUUCAGGGGAAACACCUUGGGUAUGACAUGUGCAGGGUGCACACAAAUACUGCAAAUUUUUGCAAAAACUUGCUUAUCGUUUGAUCGGUCCCAUCGCAAUUCAGGGCAAGUUGGAACAAGUUUACUUGCGAUGAACUUGUGUUCUCGUUUGAUCAGGGCUUGACUCCAAAGGUCAAUAACAUUUUUUAUUUAUUUUCAUUUCGACUAUAUUUCAGAUGUCAUCUGGACAAACUAUUAUACAUCUGGUUAUACAUUGUAUAAAUAUAAAAAUGUUAUCGACCAUUGGAGUUAUACCUGUUUUGUAUUUUGUUAAAAUAUUCAGGGCUCUAUAAUAUUGAGAUUUUGAAUUGGUUUUAGAAUUUAAACAAAAUCCAUUGUUUGGUUAAGUAACACUGUCCUUUUGAUGAGUAAAAUCAUCUGGCAUUAGACAGAGGAACAGGGCUGCAAAUAAAUAUUUGACUUGACAGGACAUUUGUCCAAUCACUUUUAAUUUUGGUCGGACAUAACUUGAAUUUGGUCGGACAAAAACCAACAUCACUAAAUUUGGUCAGACAUAUAUACGUCACACGAUAUAUAUAAGUCAUGCACGAGACAAGUAUGUAUGCCAUUCUGGCGCAAUGUUAAGUAAAAUUAAAUGGUAGAACGCCUUGUAAAUUUUAUUGCAAAAUGCAAAUUGAGUGAAUUUGUAAUCGUAUUUUGUCACAGCAAAAAAAUGUUUAAUGUGACAUUUUUUUGUGAUCGGACCAAUGUCCGAUCAAAAUUACUUUUGCUCGGACAUUCGCCAAAUUUAGUCGGACAUUGUCCGAUGUCCGACAGUAAUUUGCAGCCCUGGGGGAAAUUAAAAAGUAGGGCACAUUUUGUUGCAUUGCAGUUUAAUGUGUUAACAAGAUACAUUGCCACUUUUCUCUUAAUUUGAGUAAAAUGAUCUGGCAUCAGACAUUUGGUUACUUUGCAGCUUAAUGAGUUAAUCUUAUUUUUCUUAGAGAACAGCAAUUCAACUCUAUGGCUUACCAAAGAAACUAUACACCAGCAAUGUGUACAAGGCAAUUGAAUGUAUCGUCAUGUUGACAUGUGUUAGUUCAGUUGGGUUUGCAGAGGAACUACUUGAAAGGUCAGUUCUAAAAAAUCAUGUGCUCUUUCGUUUGCAAAUGAACAACAUUUUUCAAUUGAUGUUUUUUUUAUCACUUGAAAUUGUUUCG